rnacentral:rRNA from 1 species
UACGAAGGGGGCAAGCGUUGUUCGGAAUUACUGGGCGUAAAGCGCACGUAGGCGGUGUUCCAUGUCAGAGGUGAAAGCCUGGGGCUCAACUCCAGAAUUGCCCUUGAAACGGGGACGCUUGAGUCCGAGAGAGGAUGGCGGAAUUCCUAGUGUAGAGGUGAAAUUCGUAGAUAUUAGGAAGAACAUCGGUGGCGAAGGCGGCCUUCUGGACAGUGACUGACGCUGAGACGCGAAAGCGUGGGGAGCAAACAGG